rnacentral:lncRNA from 1 species
AAUAAGAGACCGAAAGCUUAGUAUCUGAGCACAUGAUUUUGGUCCCAACAUUCAAGAAUCUGAGGCAGGAAGGUUGCUGGGAGCUAGAGGCCAACUGGGGCUAUAUACCCUCUGUCAACAACAACAACAAAAUUAGUUGAUUAUGGUGGCAUAUGUCUGUAAUCCUAGCAUUUGGAAGGUAGAAAGGGGGUAGGGUUCAGAAAUUCAAAGUUAUCUUCAGUUACAUAGUAAAUUCAAGGGCAGAGUAAGUUAACAUGGUGCCCUGUCUCAAACAAACAUACAAAGAAGAGACAAGAGACCUGAGUUUUAGUCCCAUCUAUACAGUGGCCAUGGAUCAAACUCCUGCUCUUCAUUGAGCCUCAGUUUCCCAUAUAGAAAACAGACUUUAACACAUGAACACUAUUCCAGCAAUUUCUGGGCCCAGAACAUGCUUGGCUAAUGCUAGGUUGUCACCUUUUACAGAGUUGUACAUCUCCUGUUGCUUCUCCAAGAUGGAGCCUAUUUUUGUCUACUGUUGGGCUCAGUGGGGGAAUUAACUCACCAAACAAACUGAACCAGAUUCUACCCAUCCCUCUUUCCUUUAACCUUUUACAUCCAUUAGCACAUCCCAACUCAAAUACUAUUUGCUCAGGCCCCAUGGACCUUGCUAGUAAGUUUAUCAGCAUCUAUUUCCCCCGCUGCAAUGGAAUAUCAGGACUGUAAAACAAGGCCCAGAGUGUUUGGUUUGUGGCUCUUAUCAGUA